rnacentral:rRNA from 1 species
AUUGAACGCUGGCGGCAGGCCUAACACAUGCAAGUCGAGCGGAUGAAGGGAGCUUGCUCCUGGAUUCAGCGGCGGACGGGCGAGUAAUGCCUAGGAAUCUGCCUGGCAGUUGGGGAUAACGUCCGGACACGGGCGCUAAUACCGCAUACGUCCAGAGGGAGAACGGGGGGGAUCAUCGGAUCUCACGCUCUUAGGUGAGCCUAGGUCGGAUUAGCUAGUUGGUGGGGUAAAGGCCUACCAAGGCGACGAUCCGUAACUGGUCUGAGAGGAUGAUCAGUCACACUGGAACUGAGACACGGUCCAGACUCCUACGGGAGGCAGCAGUGGGGAAUAUUGGACAAUGGGCGAAAGCCUGAUCCAGCCAUGCCGCGUGUGUGAAGAAGGUCUUCGGAUUGUAAAGCACUUUUAGUUGGGAAGAAGAGCAGUAAGUUAAUACCUUGCUGUUUUGACGUUACCAAAAGAAUAAGCACCGGCUAACUUCGUG